ACGGGGUUUCACGGUGUUAGCCAGGAUGAUCUCUAUCUCCUGACCUCGUGAUCUGCCCACCUCGGCCCCAGAAAGUGCUGGGAUUACAGGCAUGAGCCAGCGCGCCCGGCAUUUGCUGCUUUAAUAAGUAUUUCAGAAAGGAACUGCUGGUUUUUUAAGGAUGUUUUCUAGAGCUUGUUUGACUUUUUGGGCCUCAGAUUAUAUUUUGCCAUCAAGCUCCCCUUUGAAUAUGACAGAAUCUCACUCUGUUGCCCAAGCUGGAGUGCAGCAGCGCAAUCUCUGAGCUCAC